CGUUGGGACCCAGUACGCAGGCCCGCCGAGCGGCCAAUGAAGGCGGGAGGCCCGCGGUGUAGAGACGGUCAGCCCCGGAGCCGCGUCCCGCACUCGGACAUCCCGGACACAAUUUCCUGACUCCAAGGUAGCAAGCUGGUGUUCAAACAAAGUAUGAUAACCGUGCCUAUCUGAAGAGCGAGACCUCACAGACAUAGACAUGUCUAUUACGAAACCCUGUUAUUAGUAGUUCCCCUCUGAUAUGUGUGAGAUUUUUUUUUCAUCCUUCUUGGGAUUAUAAUGUUUUACAAAGAGGAACUUGAAGUACUUACUGAUGAAGAUCAAAGACUAUAGCCUUCAGUAUGAAUUGCACCUCAACAUAAAGAAAAAAAAUACAACCAGACCAAUAAGCAAUAUCAUGGUAAACGGAGAAAAUAUUGAAGUUAUCAAGAACUUCAUUUUACUUGGCUCUACAAUCAACACCCAUGGAAGCAGAAAUCAAGAAAUCAGAUGAUGUAUUGCAUUGGGCAAAUCAGCGGCAAAAGACAUAUUUAAAGUGUUGAAAAGCAAAGAUAUCGCUUUGAGGACUAAGGUGUGCCUGAACAAAACCAUGAUGUUUUCAAUUGCGUCAUAUACAUGUAAAAGCUGGACAAUGAACAAGGAAGAUCAAGGAAGAAUUGACACCUUAGAAAUAUGGUGUUGACAAAGAACAUUGAAUAUACAUGAACUGCCAGAAGGAUGAACAAAUCUGUCUUGGAAGAAGUACAAUCAGAGUGUUCCUUAGAAGCAAAGAUGGCGAGACUUCAUCUCACAUACUUUGGAUAUGUUAUCGGAGGGACAAGUCUCUGGAGAAGGACAUCAUGCUUGGGGAAUGAAGAAUGAAAAGGAUGUAUGUCUGGAUGGUCACAGUGACCCCACUUGUGACCUACCGCACCAAACUGAAAGCAAAUCAGUGUGUGCAGUCCCCAUUGCAAGCCCUGAGCUGACUGGAGGUUGGAAGGAGACCUGAUCAAGAUGAGGAACUCACUUUUAUCUUCUUGCUUUCUGGGCUUGUACUUUAAAAAAUGAGACAUACAGACAUCUCUUUUGGUUCUCUAAAUCUUCCUUGCCCCGUCUAGUCUGUUUCCCUGCACUAAGAUGGCCAGUAUGGUCGCCUUCUUCUCCACCUUAGCCUAUAUUAGCACUACAGAUAGUAAAGAUUCAGGCAGCAUAUGGGACACAUGAUACAGCCUAAUAUGUCAGUAACUAGUGAAAAUAAAUUUCUCCUUCUACCUGUUCAUAAUCUGGAAGCUGUGCUGUUUUCCCCCUGGUGGAAGUAAAACCAUCUUCAUUCUUAGCACGUGGUAAUAAGGAUUCUCCCUAGUUUUAAGGAUCAUGAUGGUGUUUGUGUUUGGAUGGGUGGGGAAAGGGAAAGACAAAUUGUUUUUCCAGGUACUUGAGAAUUCGGAAGAGAUAUUAAUAUCUGCAUAAAUAUUUAUGUACAGAGAUGUUUAUCAUUAUGUUACUGACAAGAUUUGGAAAAUUGUAAACAAUAGAAAUAUUGAAAAAUGUUUACAAAAAAAAUCAAACCCACUGCCAUCGAGUGAAUUCUGCAUCAUAGCCGCCCUAUAAGACAGAGUAGAAAUGUCCCAUAGGGUUUCCAAGGCUGUAAAAUCUCUAUGGAAGCAGACAGCCACAUCUUUGUCCUGCAGAGCACCUGGUGGGGUUCAUAUCUCAAAUCACUAACCUUUUAUUUGGCAGCUGAGCAUGUUAACCACUGUGCCACCAGGGCUGUAUGUUAAAAAUAGUUAACAUCUAAUUAGUUGGAUUGUGAGCAUUUCUUCUAAUAUGCGUUUUUAAUGAAUUCCCUAUAAUUAAUAUGGGUGAUUAUUUUUGGAAUCUCUAAAAUUAAUUUUAUUUCUUUAAGUAGCAAAGCCACUGAAUAAAGUCAAAUAUUUUUAAAAAUCAGUUUUAUCCAUUUAUUUGAUAGCAAAUAUGAUGUUACUCCCUUGCUGUAAAAUCUUUCACUGACUUCCUAUUAACUUUAAAGUCUAAAUUCUAAUAUAUAUACAAUGAUUUUUAUAAUCUGAUCAUAUCUAAAUGGCAACCUCACUUUCUAUCUAGUUUUCCUUUCCUCCUUGCACUCUCAGAUUACCAAUUUAUUUGUUAUUCCUCCAGAACAGAAUCUAUCACAUGUUAGUGUCUUUGGAUAUGCUGCCCCCAUCCUCUGGAAUGCAAUUCACUCUAUUUUCAUCUGUCAAAAUUCCUCUGCAGAAAGCCUGUCUGCCCUGAUUCCCACAAGAUACACAGGCUGUGUUUCUUUUGUGCUCUAAUUGUAGAUGGUGAAUACCAUGCUAUUACUCCUGGAACAGUGCUUUCUGAGUUUCCUGAGGGUCAAAGGUGUGCUUCUGAUUUCUGUAUGUUACUCUUCACAACGUGUGCUGGGUUCACAGAAGGAACUCAAUAAUUGGAGGAAGAGGAAUUACAAAUCAAAGAGUGGAAGAAGUAGACAUAAUUCAGUAUAUUUCAAAUUUUUCAAAUGUUAAUAUAAAAAUUACACAUAGAUCAAAAUUGAAUACAAAAAAUCAACAUAUCAAUAUAAUAAUGUCAAGCAUAAAAUGAUAUAUAAUAUAGCUCACAUGAGAUAAAACUAAGAGUUCACUAUUAGUUUUUUUUUUCUUAAACAGUGGAUGCUAUGGUACCAUUUUACAUCUAUUCCAUUAGCAAAAUAAUAUUAAACAAUCAAAAUACGUAUUAACAAGGCUGCAGAAAUCCUGCAACAUUCAUAAAUCAUGGAAGCAUUUCUUUAUUCAUGCUUUUAUUAUCUAGUCUGUGUUAUGCGUAGUGACAGGAACUGGGGAUACAAAUUGAAUAAGAUAUUGGCCAUGCCCUCAAGGAGAUUAUUGCAAUGAUACAUGCACAGACAGAUUUUAGGAGAUAACUCAAGAGUGAUAUUUAUGUCAAAAUAGGGGCUACAUCAGGAAAAAAAUUCCAAUGAGAAGAGAAACCUUAAAUUAAUAUUUAAACCAAGAAUAAGGCAGGGAAAAAGUGAGCAAGGUUAAUGAAAGCACAAAAUAAUAAAGUGGAAUGACUCACUCAAGGGCUUAAAUAUUGGUGCAUCAUUUAGAAAAGUAGAUUUAAAAAAGAAUAAUAAUAAAUAUGUUCAUACACUUUGACUCAAUGAGUUUUGUGUUUGGAAAAUUAUGGUGCUAAAACAUUCCAAAGGACAAAAUAUAAUGCCAGUUCAUUUCUAAAGCUAAAGGAAAAGGAAAUAGCUUAAAAGUCCAGAAUUGGGUAACUUAUUAGGUAAAUGAUAGCAUAUUGAUUUACCACAUUAUUAUGUGGUUCUCAAUAUUAUUGAGUAUUAAAAUUAUAUAGCAGCAUGGGAAAAGUUUAUAAAAUGAGGUAGGGGAACAAUGAAAUGCUACAUUUAUGUUACCAGGUUGUGAAUACUGUUUGUUAUUUUUUUCUAGAAGACUUACAGCCUCACUUUUUAUAAAAUGCUUAGACUAUGAUCCAUUUCAAAUUAAUUUAUGUUUAGCAUAUGGGAUAAAAUUUGAGGUUAACUUUGUUUCCAUAUGGGUUUUGUGUUGUUCCAGCAAAAUUUGUUGAAGAGUUUUCUUUUCCUACUGAACUGCUGUGAGGUUUUGGUGAAAAAUCAAUUGACUAUAGAUGAAUGGGCCUCUCUUGGACCUUCUAUUCUAUUUCACUGACCUAGUUGUCUAUCCUUAUGCCACUUCCACACUGCAUUGUACAUGGCUGCUUUAUAGAGAAUCUUCUAGUUUUGUUAAAUUUACCUAUUUGACUUUGUAGUUGCUUUGUACAUGCCUUAAAAGUUUCUUUGCAGAAAAUCAUGUCAUCUGCAAAAGCAAAGUUUUACAUAUUCCUUUCCAAUUUUAUACACCUCCCCUUUUUAUUGCCCUACUACACUUGCAGGAGCCCUGGUGGGACAGUGGUUAAUGGCUAAGCUGCUAACUGAAAGGUCAGCGGUUCGAAUCCAUCAGCCACACCAUGGGAGUAAGAUGAUGCAGGCUGCUCCUAUAAAAAUGUACAGCCUUGGACAUGCUAUGGAGCAGUUCUACUCUGUCCUAUAGGGUCAAUAUGAGUCAGAAUUGACUCUAUGGCAACUGGAAAUGGGGCUGCAUUUGCAAGGGUCUCUGGUACAAUUUUGGAUAAAGUUAGCAAUACAAAAAAGAAAACAUUAAUCUUAAGGGAACGUCAUUCAAUAUUUUGCCAUAAAAAAUUAUGCUAUUUUCCUGCCUCUAUUGAGAUGAUCACUUGUUUUUCUCUCCUUAUUCUGUUUAAAUGUUGAUUUAUUAAUUUUCAAAUGUUAACCAAAUUGUAUUAGUGAGAUAAACUCGACUUUGUCAUGUUGUAUUGCUCUUUUUGUAUAUUAUAGGAUUCUAGUUGCUAAUAUUUUGUUAAAGAUGCAGUGUCUUAAUUUUUAUUUCUUGUCAUAUCUUUGUCAAGUUUUAGGAUCAGAUUUAUACUCCUCUCAUAAAAAGAAUUGCUAUGUAUUCCUUCCUACUCUAUUUUGUAAAAGAGUGUUUAUAUUUGACUUUAUUUUUUCUUAAAAUUUUUAUAAAACCAUCUGGACCUUGAGUUUCCUUUACAGCAAGUUUUUGAUUACAUAUUCAAUUUAUUUUAUGGUCCAAGAGCUAACGUGAUUUUCUCUUUCAACUUGUGUCAGUUUUAGAAAUGUAUGCUUUU